UACGGAGGAUGCAAGCGUUAUCCGGAAUGAUUGGGCGUAAAGCGUCCGCAGGUGGCUAUGUAAGUCUGCUGUUAAAGAGUGAGGCUCAACCUCAUAAGAGCAGUGGAAACUACAUGGCUAGAGUGCGUUCGGGGCAGAGGGAAUUCCUGGCGUAGCGGUGAAAUGCGUAGAGAUCAGGAAGAACACCAGUGGCGAAGGCGCUCUGCUAGGCCGUAACUGACACUGAGGGACGAAAGCUAGGGGAGCGAAUGGG
rnacentral:rRNA from 1 species